CUGCUAAGCUUGGUCUAUUUUCUCAACUCUUCUUUGUAGACCUCAACUCUUUAAUGGUAAAUCCAUGUGUUACUGAGUGUCUUCUCUUUAUGUAGACACUUUAAAUCUCUGUAAAGCUUUCCUCAAGAUUUUUUUUUUGUUUUGAAUGCCAUACCGAAGUAUUUCUUCAUGAUUUCAGGAGCAGAAAAUUCAGCUUCGUUAAUGCAAGUUCAUCCAUGGUUAGUUUAUCCGAUGAGCUUUAUACUAUGAGAUUAAUGACUUUUGACGAGCAACAAAUGACAUUGGAUUUCGAGUACGUACACAUUUUCUCCUCUUCUAAGGUAAUUCUAACCAACUCUAUUACAUUGGCUCAUUGUGGGAUGGUUUGAAUGAGUUGUCGUCAGUUUAAGCCUCCUCUUUUGUUCUUUCUAUGUGACUAUGGUUCUUAAAUCUUAUGUGCUUCUAUUUUUCGGUGAAUGACAACUCUCUUAUUUAUUUUUUUGAACAAUUGCACUUGUGAUAUUAAACUUAAAGGCAAAUACAGAAAUUUCAUUGAUCUUUAAUGUUUUA